rnacentral:rRNA from 1 species
GACGAACGCUGGCGGCGUGCUUAACACAUGCCAGUCGAACGGAAAGGCCCUGCUUUUGUGGGGUGCUCGAGUGGCGAACGGGUGAGUAACACGUGAGUAACCUGCCCUUGACUUUGGGAUAACUUCAGGAAACUGGGGCUAAUACCGGAUAGGAGCUCCUGCUGCAUGGUGGGGGUUGGAAAGUUUCGGCGGUUGGGGAUGGACUCGCGGCUUAUCAGCUUGUUGGUGGGGUAGUGGCUUACCAAGGCUUUGACGGGUAGCCGGCCUGAGAGGGUGACCGGCCACAUUGGGACUGAGAUACGGCCCAGACUCUUACGGGAGGCAGCAGUGGGGAAUAUUGCACAAUGGGCGGAAGCCUGAUGCAGCAACGCCGCGUGCGGGAUGACGGCCUUCGGGUUGUAAACCGCUUUCGCCUGUGACGAAGCGUGAGUGACGGUAAUGGGUAAAGAAGCACCGGCUAACUACGUG